AACGAACGCUGGCGGCAUGCCUAACACAUGCAAGUCGAACGAGACCUUCGGGUCUAGUGGCGCACGGGUGCGUAACGCGUGGGAACCUGCCUUUAGGUUCGGAAUAACUCAGAGAAAUUUGAGCUAAUACCGGAUGAUGUCUUCGGACCAAAGAUUUAUCGCCUUUAGAUGGGCCCGCGUUGGAUUAGCUAGUUGGUGGGGUAAAGGCCUACCAAGGCGACGAUCCAUAGCUGGUCUGAGAGGAUGAUCAGCCACACUGGGACUGAGACACGGCCCAGACUCCUACGGAAGGCAGCAGUGGGGAAUAUUGGACAAUGGGCGAAAGCCUGAUCCAGCAAUGCCGCGUGAGUGAUGAAGGCCUUAGGGUUGUAAAGCUCUUUUACCCGAGAUGAUAAUGACAGUAUCGGGAGAAUAAGCUCCGGCUAACUCCG
rnacentral:rRNA from 1 species